GUGCCAGCCGCCGCGGUAAUACGUAGGGGGCAAGCGUUGUCCGGAAUCAUUGGGCGUAAAGCGCGCGUAGGCGGCUCGAUCAGUCUGCUGUGAAAGUCAAAGGCUCAACCUUUGAAUGCCGGUGGAUACUGUCGAGCUAGAGUCCGGAAGAGGCGAGUGGAAUUCCUGGUGUAGCGGUGGAAUGCGCAGAUAUCAGGAGGAACACCAACGGCGAAGGCAGCUCGCUGGGACGGUACUGACGCUAAGGCGCGAAAGCGUGGGGAGCGAACAGGAUUAGAAACCCGCGUAGUCC
rnacentral:rRNA from 1 species